CCUGCAUAGACGUGACAUACUAUAGCUAGCAGAUUGACACAAUGUAUCUGACGAGUAUAUAGGUUAACGAGACAACUUUGUGAGUCUGCCUAGUGAUAAAUAUCCCACAGGGCAUCCCAGGGGCCACACGAUUGUCCUUAUUCACCUCCAGCUCCGCACCUGACACAGCGUCACUCCCAGGGGUUCCUCUUAAACUCCGUUCUGCUCAGGUCAAGACAAACAUGAAGCAGAUCAUGGUGCCCUCCAAUAUGUACCCCACACUCAUCUGGAUGGCUAUUAAAUUACAGACAACUCUACAUACAAACUGCUUCUCUAUGGAAGCCGUUCCAGGUCGAUAAAUGAGCAUUUAAUCACAGCGUACAGCCAGUAACAUUAAAGCAGCAAUUAGGUAUUUGAA